CGAACGCUGGCGGCGUGCUUGAUACAUGCAAGUCAAGGAGAACGUUUUCUUCGGAAAAUUAUUAAACUGGCGAACGGGUGAGUAACACGUAGGUAAUCUGCCUUAGAGAUUGGGAUAACUCGGCGAAAGCCGGACUAAUACCAAAUAAUGCAACGACUUUUUCGGGAGAUGUUGUUAAAGCGGGCUUCGGCUCGUACUUUAAGAUGAGCCUGCGGCCGAUUAGCUAGUUGGUAAGGUAAUGGCUUACCAAGGCGAUGAUCGGUAACUGGUCUGAGAGGACGAUCAGUCACACUGGAAUUGAGAUACGGUCCAGACUCCUACGGGAGGCAGCAGUAAGGAAUUUUGCGCAAUGGGCGAAAGCCUGACGCAGCAACGCCGCGUGAUCGAUGAAGCUCUUAGGAGUGUAAAGAUCUGUCAUAAGGGAAGAACAACUUUAAUAAAAAUAUUAUUAGAAUUUGACGGUACCUUAUAAGAAAGCACCGGCUAACUUA
rnacentral:rRNA from 1 species